GCCUGGCUGGCUCAGCUGGUAGAGCGUGGGACUCUUGAUCUUGGGGUUGUGAGUUUGAGCCCCAUGUUGGGUG
rnacentral:tRNA from 1 species